rnacentral:rRNA from 1 species
UACAGAGGGUGCAAGCGUUGUUCGGAAUUAUUGGGCGUAAAGCGCGUGUAGGCGGUUUUGCAAGUCGGGUGUGAAAGCCCUCAGCUCAACUGAGGAAGUGCGCCCGAAACUGCAGAGCUUGAGUACCGGAGAGGAUGGCGGAAUUCCCCAAGUAGAGGUGAAAUUCGUAGAUAUGGGGAGGAACACCGGUGGCGAAGGCGGCCAUCUGGACGGAUACUGACGCUGAGACGCGAAAGCGUGGGUAGCAAACAGGAUUAGAAACCCCCGUAGUCC